CUUAAAUUUAGACCUUAAAUAUAGACUUUAGUUCUGUCUUUAGGGCCAUGGAGCAGUGAGGGUUCUGAAGCAUUGUAAACAGAUUUUAAAAUGCAGAAGGCAGAUGUUUUGCUGGUUUUCAAGUCAUGGAGUCCCUUGAGUUACCAAAUGUGCCAUUCACUAUUUUUUGAGAACAUAAUUUAGAUAAGACUUCAGAAUUUUAUGUCAAUUGACUGCACUUGAAUUGUCAUACAGGUAUG